rnacentral:rRNA from 1 species
UGCCAGCCGCCGCGGUAACACGGGGGGCGCAAGCGUUAUUCGGAAUUAUUGGGCGUAAAGGGCGCGCAGGCGGUCUUGUCCGUCAGGUGUGAAAGCUCGGGGCUCAACCCCGGAAGUGCACUUGAAACAGCAAGACUUGAAUACGGUAGAGGAGAGAGGAAUUCCUGGUGUAGAGGUGAAAUUCGUAGAUAUCAGGAGGAACACCGAUGGCGAAGGCAACUUUCUGGCACGAUACUGACGCUGAGGCUCGAGAGCGUGGGGAGCGAACAGGAUUAGAUA